ensembl:snRNA U4 U4 spliceosomal RNA
AGCCUUGCACAGUGGCAGUGUUGUGGCCAGGAAGUUUAUCCAAAGCGCGAUUAUUGCUAAUUGGAAAUUUUCCCACUACCCCGCCGAGACGACUUACAAUAUAGUCGGUAUUGGCCAUUUUUGACAGUCUCCACAGAGA